AUGGCCGACGCGGGACAAAGUGUAGUAUCUCUUCUUACCAGCUCAAUAUCUGAGGCGGGUUGUAUUUGUACCCAAGAUAUUAAACUUAUUUUUCAAUUUGGCGGAGUGCUUGAAGCCUGCUUCACCUCCGCCGCGGGUCGACCUGGUAUUGCACGAUCUUCGGGGGUUUUGGUCUACGGACA